GAGAUGGGAGUAAAACUGAUGGUAGAGAAAGGAAGAAGCGAGGGAAAACUUUGAGCACGGAAGAUGAAAGCAAAGAACUUAACAGUGGGAAAAUGCUGGAAAAUUCAUCAGCAAACCUCAACAUAUCCACCUAAAAGCAUAGGGCACAGUGCAUUUUGGUGUUUGUUUUACUGGGGAGUGGGGUGUUUCUUUUCAAAUACUGUGAUAAGAGAGAAUGUGGCCAGUUCUAGAAGUUGGAUGGGAUGUUCAUGCUAGGGGUGAAGCCAGCCCAGUGCUGGACUGGAAUGACUGGAGAUGCAGAUCUGCCAGUAAGUGAGGUGGAAGACAAAGGGGCCUUUUGUGUGAAUGCAAGGACUUUCAAACAGAGAUGAGGCGAAGGUGAACAGUCCUCCUUUCCUUUCUGAUUCUCUUGUUUUAAUGGGAUUGUUCUUUUCAGCUGUUUGGAUGUGUCUGGAUUAGUUUAUGGAAGAAAGACUUCUAUAUGAUGCUCCUUCUUUGAAUGAGGAGGAAAAAAAGGCAGAUGUGCUUCUUGAAGUAACUAUUCUUGUUAUUAUACUGGAUUUAAACAAAAUACAUUUGGAUGUAAAUCUUUGCAUUCUUGGGGAUGUUUUUAAGCCUUAGAACUUAACUAGACUGUGUAACUUGCUGAGCCUUUCCUUGAAUCCCAAAAAUACUAUUUUUUUGAGAGUACUGAAUAAAAGUGGAAAUUUUAAAAUAGAAA